UGUAUCAUCCAUAUAGUAGGAUUUUUGAUGUGCAGAAAAGCCCAGUCUAUUUUACUGUCACUAUAGUCAAGUCUGUGGGUUAUGGUAUUUUAAUAUAGAUGUUGCCAUUUUAGUAAUCAACUUAGCUAGCAAGUUUUUUUUAUUUUUUAUCUUUCAGAUGGGCAGACCGGAAACCGAGUGACAACACUCAGGUCUGUAGCUGCGUGGGAAAGAGAAAUGGCCCUGUAUUUACCAGAAAAGGUAGCUCAUCCACCAUGGCAGAAGAGGAAGAUCCAGAUGGUUGAUUGGGAAACAAGAACAAACAAUGAGGCAUGAGGAUUGGUUGUUGAGGGACUGCUUGUCACAUUGUCCAAGUCCAACAGGAGUGCAUCUCUCAGACCAUCUGGGGCAUGGACAUCCUGUACCAGUCUGAUCCGAGCAGGAGUAUCCAUUUGUACAGCACAUCGAGCCUGUGGACGGACAGACAUGAGGUGUGACAUGUGGAACAUCAGGCACACCCCACGACAAGGAGUGCAUGAUCAACACCACUCUCAGCAAGGAGAUCUGCUGGAAGGGAUGUGCUCUCUCACUCUCACUCAUAAUUUUAACAUCACAAAUAUAAAUUCCCACUGAGCCCAUGAUAAAAUGCAAUGUGAAUUGUGUCGUACUUCUGAAUGAAACUGUGAGGAGAUGCACACAGACCAGCCUUUGUGAUUGAACUUAUGUUAACCUCAUUACUUUAGUUGGCUGCUUUGAGCAAAACUUAAAUGUAAUAUAGCCUAUUCUAGGAGCCUAUUGUUUGUGUAUGAUAUUUAUUCACUGUUCACUUGUUUUUCAACAAUAUCAAGUACGGGCAGGGAUGACUGGGGCCUUCAGCAAGUAAGACACGGGAUAAGAAAUAAUUUCAACAUCACAGAUAUAAAUUCCCACUGUGCCCAUAAUAAAGUUAACUACAUUACUUUAGUUGUCUGCUUUGAGCAAAACUUGUAUGUAAUAUAACCUAUUCUGGGAGGUGUGUGUGUGUGUGUGAACUAUAUGGAAUAUUUCUGGACCUUUUGGCUUCUCUGAAAACAGGUACUGGCAGGAGGAGCAAUAUGGGUGAGGUCGUCGUGCUGGAUGGUGAUGGAGGCUUUGGUGGUCCACACAACAAAGAAGCAGGUGUUCCUUCCUGUGAUGUGGAGCUGACCUUUGACCUGGUGCCAGUGAGGGAGGUCUUCCCUCCUUGAUUUAAAAAUCCUCAGACUUCACUGCCUCUUCAAUGGUAAGGUCCCUUGCACCAUAGGGACACUUGAUCUACACCACUGCUGUGGUACACCAGUAGGCGCCCAAGAGCCCCCGACCAAAGCCCUGACUCCUGCACAUCCAUCCCUGUAGCCAUUUUGAAUGCCUUGAUGCCCUCCUCUUCAUUAUCGGGUUAUCAUAGUUGGGGUUGUUGCGCUAUCCAACUGUUGCCUGCCGUAUAGCCUCCUGCUGCUACACUGACAGCGCCAUGCCAGCCAGGAUGCCUGCAUGCCCUUGUUUUUUAAACAUUUUUAAACAAUGUCCGGUACAGACAGGGAUCACAGGGAGGAUAGCGGUUGUUCUGGCUCAGGUUCAAGGAGACAUGCUAUUCCACUGAACCUGCCACGAAGAUGGUUCCUUAGCCAUUGAAGAUCCUCCUCUGUGGGCUCUUGGGACAGAGGGUUGUAGUCUUCGACUGGGUACAGGUCCUCCACUGACUGUACCUGGUUGGGCACGGCUGUCUUCCUCCACUCGCAUUCCACGUCCGUACGGCCGUUAUUGUGAACCGCCAAAAUUGGCUGCAUCGCUACACUUACGAGCUCCACGGAGGCGUUUGCAUGUGGUAGAGAGAGUGCCCUGGUCACUUAUAGAGACCUGCCAAGAUGAAGGAUGUUAAGUGCCACACGCCUUUCAAUACAUGACUUUAAACACCUUGAAAUGCAUUCGUUGUAAGAAAUGUGAUAUAUAAAUAGUUUGAUUUGAUUAAUGACAUUACAGCUGUACAAUAUUUAAUAAACUGUAAUUGCAGUGCAGGUUUUCCAUAAACCUUUAAUUGAUAACUUGGGAUUUUAUCAUUUGACAUCAAUCAUAUAGUGGGAAGGAUCCUAUAAAUCUAGACUGUAUGAACACAUGUACCACUUCGAAUAAAUAAAUACUGUGCUUUUGAAGAUUUGCCUCCGGUUAUGAGACUACAAUACAGGCUGGAUGUCUAAACAAAGUCAGUUCUGAAUGGCAAUAGAUGUUUUGAUUCAUUCUCAGCAAUGACAACAUUCUAGAACUGAGAUAUCACUCAUCUAAGUCUGGUAUCCGGGGUAAUAUGGUUAAUGAUUAUAUAACUGAUUAAGUGGC
ensembl:lncRNA